UAUUGAACACGUCUCUGCUAUUCAUUUCCAAUUUCCAGAGCUCUGUAUGAGUUGGCAAAUAUCCAUCAUCCACAAAGGGCCCAGGCUGAUUUUAUCCCCAACAAACUGGUGUCAGAAGUUUGGGUGCAAUUAGGAACGGAGUUGCAGGUAAGGGGGUCUUUAGCCCCUUGGGGACACAACUUCUGGAAUUUAAGGGUAUCAUGACGGAGUAUUUCUGUCGUGUGUCCUUAGGGGGUUGGGGACCUUUGCCUGCUUCUGCCAUCCUCCCACACAUUGCAUUUCUUGUUUUAAUGGGGUUUUUCACUAUUUACAUUUUUAAAGGGGAUUUUCACAGGAUAAUGUCUUUGGUAGACAUGGUAUUUUGUUAAGUCUUAGGUAGACUUCUAUUACUCCACGGGUUGGAGGAUUGCCUUUGGUAGGUAGUAGUAGUUAUUGUGCACAUUUCCUCUUUGGUAAGAGGUUCACCUUUGGCCAGGUGUUAAAAAUAAUUUCAAGCCUUUGGUAGGCUGUGAUGUACCUGUGAUGUACACUUACAUAUGGGAGACGUCCCUAGAUCCCUCUUUGGUAGAGGUUGCCUUUGGUAGGUUGUAAAACAGAUUUCCAGUCUUUGGUGGACUGUGGUAUUUAUUUAACGUAGAUGUCAAUUUUUCAGACUAAAAUGGUUAUUAAAAAAAAAAUAAAAUAAAAAAAAGGGGGGUUAAAAGGUAUGAUGGAUGUUUGGCAUUACUCCGGCUAUUUUAUGAUGUGCAACGCUAAUUUUAAGCAUAAAGUCUUAAUUGAGGGAAUGUAAAAAGUACAUCUAAUGGUGAUGAGGAAUAAGAAAAAAAACUAGAGGUUAUUUAAGGGGGGCUACAAAUUCUAGAACUAACAUGAUUUCUCUGCAUGUAUGUUUGUUUGCAUAAUGAGCCCCUUAUUUUUAUAUUUGGUCAAAAGUACUAUAAGCCCACUACACUUUUUCAUGAGAGUGGGAUGUAUGAUUGUUUAUAUGAUGAGCCCUUUAUUUUCAUAUUGGGACAAAAAGUCACUUCAUUCAAAACGUCAAACACCACAUUCUUUCUGCCCUGAGUGUUUGUUGCAGAGAACUUAUGUUGUAAAUUUAGAUGAUUAUGAAUUAGAGAGAAAAAUGUAUAUUUUCAGCGUUCCAACACAUGCUUCAUAUUGUGCUGUAAGCUAACUUGUAGUAUUCCAGUACGUCACAUGUUGUAUGUGCUUUAAAUUGUAUGUAUUCUGUAAAUUGUUGUAUGGGAAUGCUGAGAUUUUAUUGCUUGCGACCCAAACUGUGAAGAAGUGGGUUUGAAAUUUUGGUCAUGGAAUGUAGGAUCAGAAAACCAUGGACAAAGGUUUUUACCUGUGUUGAUAUGACUUUUGGAAACUCAAAUUGACCGGUCAAAAUUUUGCCAUGCCUUUAACAUGGAGUAGUAUAAAUAUUUUGAGUCUUUGAGAGUUCUGACAAAUGCAGGUGAUACCAUGUCUGUGUAAUCUGGUCCAAAUGUUCUAUAAGCGUAUAAGAGAGAAAUUCCAUUGACAGGGUACAUAUGUUGCAACUGGUUAAUGCAAGUGUUAUACAAAUGUUUAAGUCAAACGCGUUAUAUGGCCGUACGGGAUCCCUUCUGUAAAAAAUAAAAAAUAAACCCUUUGGUACCAGAAAUCUUAAAUAAAUCUGAUACAAACUAAAAUUGGUAUACCUUACAAUAAUAUGUUCUGAAUACAGCUGUUAGAAGUUUAUUCUGUGUGAAUGAUGAUUGUCAUAAAUGUUUGUUUUGGUUACUCAUUUUGAAGUGCGCAGUUUAAUUGUCAUGUAUGUUAAUUUAUUAUGUGUUAUUUUAAAUUAUAUUUGAAUAAGUUUGUCUUAGUAUUGAUACAGAUGAAAAUGGCAGCGUAAUAAUCUAUUAAACAACUGAUUUAUUAGAGAAUACUAGUCCAAGAGCAAUAUGAGUUGUAGUCUUAAGAAAGAAAAAAAGAGGGAGUCUGUUUUUGUAAAUUUUAGCUGAUUUCCAAAAUUCUGUUGCAAUAAUGGACUUCCUGCCAAAAUUUGACUUUCCUGUCCAGUUGCCAGGUGCUCUGAUCUAAUCUUAAAGCAGUACUGCUUGCAUUGUUUGCAGACAUGCAUAAUGCACAAAUAUGAGAACCAAAUUAUGUCCGUCACAUAGUGUGACAUUUAUUAAUUUAUUUUGGAUUGAGUUAAUUGCCUGUCCAUGAAUAUGCUUUUGGUAUUGGCAUGUCUGCUGGAUAUCUGCUACAUGUUUUCUGUGCUAUAAGUUGAUGUGUGAUAUUACAAUGAGUAUGAAGAAUAUUUAAAGAAUAUUUGCAUGUCAUUAACACAAGUCUUUAGUGUCUUUUUACAACAGAUUAAAAAAACGCUGAUCAGCCAACAAGAAAGGGGCCCCUGGGAAAGAAAAAGAAAAAAUAUAUCAUUUGCUUUUCAAAAUCGUGGAUCCACGUUUCAGUAUUAUUAGGGGAGUAUUUAGAGUUAACGCUACUUUUAAAGUGCAUUGCAUUAUUUAAGAAAAGAAAAAUGUGUUACGUUAUAUGGUUAUAUAACAAGAAAAAUUAUGGAUGUAUAGGAUAGGUUUUUUCCAAGAUUAAGAUUCAUCUAGUAUGCCUCAUUGAUUAUAGGAAAAUGAUGAAAUGGUAUUUUUAAUAGAGAUCAGAUAAUUUCUUUUGAGGCAAUUCUAAACUACUGUAUUAUAUUUGUAUUGGUAUAUUGAAAGCAUUUUGCAGACCCAGAAGAGAAUAAAUAAUAUAAUAAUAAUAAAAGGAACCAUACUAUGGGAAGAGGUCACCCUAUUAAAUUGCUAAGGGGUUAAACUCAUUUUGAUAAGCAUAUAAAAUUUAGUUUUUGUGGUUAGAAUUUUUGAUACUCAAUUUGAACUCAAUUGAAGUAUUAAAACCAUAUCCUUGCAGGUAUAGGAAACAGCUGCAAUAUGAUUUUAAUAUUUGCAAUAUAUUAGUGUUCUGACAAUGGAAAAGUACCUAACCACAUGUCUGCAUUACACCUAUGACACAGACUGUCAGUAUUGCAAACCCUAUACGAAGACUCUGCUUUCACUGUUUAUGUAUACACCCCUAGACCGUGCUAUACAUGCACAAUAAAUCUUCAAAAGCCUAUUAAUAUUAUAUCUGUGUGGUACACAAAUAGGUGUACACAAAGAGGGGGUGUGAGUUAAGUCAUCUCGACCUUCAUAUGGAAUAUGCUUCCUCCUUGUUCACUUUUGGUCAAACUGUUGGUCUGUGACUGGCCCUCUUUGACCCCAACUGAAUUUCUUGGGAAGAUUCAUGAGAAAGAUACAGCAGGUUGUUUUGGAUAUAAAGAAAAAGGGAAAAGUAUGUUGUAUCGGUCACAAAAGGAUUGUGAUCUUAAGCAGGCGAGACAAAGAAAGUUUGGAGGUGAUAGAUUGAAUCAGAAAAGUUUUAGAGGCAGAGAAUUUGAUCAAAGGAUUUAACUUUUGUAGAGAUGGUAACUUCAGCACUGUUUUAAUUAUGGAUAGCAUGGAUUCACCCAAAGUUGCUUGUGGUGAACCCGGUUCUCCUGGUCAACCUGGCCCAGCUGGCAUUCAAGGACUCCCACCCUGGCAGGUUCCUCAAUACCAACCACAACUUUCAAGCUAUACCCACACCCAACAACCUCAGCCUAAUACACAGAUGGUUCAUGUUUUUAAUACUUUAUAUAUAGUUUUGAUAGAUAAAACAGUAUUAAUGCUGGCUCUUAGAGGAUGUACAAGCUGAAGUUGGGACCUAGACAUUGUUUGCAUAGGCUGUGCAAUGUGAAAUAACUAAAAUAGGAUAAUAAGUAUGCUUAGUCAAUUUGUAAAGUGGUAUAAUAGAGGCAUCUGCAAUAAAUUAAGUGGGUUUCCAAGACCUGACAAGUGAGAGCAACUUAAUAUAACAUAUGUCUACAGUUUGCUGUCCCUUCCUUAUCAGAGGCCACUUGCAACACAGCAAGACAACUCUUCCUAAACUUGUAUUAAACAAAGCACUUUAGAACAAUAGUAAUUUAUUUUGUUUCUCCUAUUUCAUUCCUAGUUGUUCUGAAAAAAAUAUAUUGUUUAAGUGGGAUAACUGUAUGGAGGUUCCAACAUGUAUUAAAACAUGAUCACACACAUCGGGAUCUAUAAAAGGUUUCGGUUUCCAAAGAUGUUAUCAGGGUCCACAAAAUUUUAUUAAAGUAAUUAAUUGAGAUUAUCAAAUCAAGGUUUAAGUUUAAGAACAGCAUUUUAUUGGGAAUUAUACCAAUAUGUAUAUGUUAGUGUUUUAGUACUCAACAAGCAUUUAUAUAGAAUGAGUGCUUCUCUCAUCCAUACAAGGCAUUUUAAAGGGAAAUUAUGUAUUAAAAUUUUAUAAAGGACAUAAACAAAACUGAGAGACGUACAUGUUACACUAGUUAAGAGUUUAACUUUAGUCUCUAAUUUGAGUUUAGCCUAGAUAAUUAAUUUAUUGAUGUCGUACUGAUCCUUGUGUUUGUAUGAUUAUAGAGACCGUACUGGAGUAUUUGUGCUGCCUGAUAUUUGGGACUACACACCAAUCUCUCUGGCUGACCUACCUUUUUUUGCAAUUAAAUCUGUUUGGUCAAAAACCAUGCUGGCCGAAGAAACUGAGAUGCUUACUUAUGAGGACAUAAACUAACUUGGAAAGUCCUGAAGAUGCAGUGCUGUCUAAUGCCGCUAUUUCUGUAUUACCCUUUCAACAAUUGGGGUGUUGCACAGAGUAUUGUGGUGAACAUCCAGCAAACAGAAGAAUUAAGAACUAUGUGGAAGCUGACAUUGUCUUGUUGUCAGCCAUAUUGCUACCCUUAGCUAUGUUAUGGUGUCUAAGAUUAUGGAACAAAGUUUAUGGUGUCUAAGAUUCUUUAUACUCCUUGAAAGACUUAUAAUAUUUUUCUGGAC
rnacentral:lncRNA from 1 species